GUGUCGUAAGACUCAAUAGAAAAGCCGGUCAGAGGCCGGCGCGGUCCCGCCACUGUAUCAGGGAGCGACGCUGCAGGAAUGUCACUGGGGAUGGAAAAGCAUCCUACGGGAAGGCGCAGCGGAGCGAGGAACUGGAGCCAGGAGAACUGCCUGAUUGA
rnacentral:ncRNA from 1 species